rnacentral:tRNA from 1 species
GCCUGGGUGGCUCAGUUGGUUGAGCACCCAACUUCAGCUCAGGUCACAAUCUCACAAUUCGUGGGUUCGAACCCCACAAUGGGCU